GAAUUGUCUAGCAUAAAGAAUCAACUUCUACAGGGUUAUUCCCCGAUGAUUCAUAUCCAUCAGGACCUCCAUUAUUUAUGGAGACACCAAGACCAUGUUCUCAUCUUGCUUAGAUUGAGUUCCCAAAUUUUGAUGAGAGUUUGAUUGAAGAGGCAAAGUUGGAGUUGUUAAUAUGCCAAGAUAUGAUCCUAUUGCCAAGGAAGCUAAACAAUUGAUUGAGGCAGAAGGGUCUUUCACUCUUCAGAAGUUGGAGACAUUCAAGUCGCGGAACCGUUGGAAGAAAUGAUAUCAGAGCAUGCUUACCGGUCAUGUUAUGACAAAAAAAACGAUACAAAUUACUCAAGUAAAAGAACUAUUUGUAUGGUUUUUUCUGAAUAUGUUAAUAUGUGUUUAAAUAUCUCUAA